GACGAACGCUGGCGGCGUGCUUAACACAUGCAAGUCGAACGGUGAAGCGCCUUCCUUUUUGGUGGGUGUGGAUGAGUGGCGAACGGGUGAGUAACACGUGAGUAACCUGCCCCCUUCUUCUGGAUAACCGCAUGAAAGUGUGGCUAAUACGGGAUAUUCUGGGUCUGUCGCAUGAUGGGUCUGGGAAAGAUAUUGUUUCGGUGGGGGAUGGGCUCGCGGCCUAUCAGCUUGUUGGUGGGGUGAUGGCCUACCAAGGCGGUGACGGGUAGCCGGCCUGAGAGGGUGGACGGUCACACUGGGACUGGGACACGGCCCAGACUCCUACGGGAGGCAGCAGUGGGGAAUAUUGCACAAUGGGCGCAAGCCUGAUGCAGCGACACCGCGUGAGGGAUGGAGGCCUUCGGGUUGUGAACCUCUUUCGCCAGUGAAGCAGGCCUGCCUCGUUUGUGGGUGGGUUGACGGUAGCUGGAUAAGAAGCGCCGGCUAACUACGUG
rnacentral:rRNA from 1 species